rnacentral:rRNA from 1 species
GAUGAACGCUGGCGGCGUGCCUAAUACAUGCAAGUCGAGCGAACAGACGAGGAGCUUGCUCCUCUGACGUUAGCGGCGGACGGGUGAGUAACACGUGGAUAACCUACCUAUAAGACUGGGAUAACUUCGGGAAACCGGAGCUAAUACCGGAUAACAUGUUGAACCGCAUGGUUCAACAGUGAAGGACGGUCUUGCUGUCACUUAUAGAUGGAUCCGCGCCGCAUUAGCUAGUUGGUAAGGUAACGGCUUACCAAGGCAACGAUGCGUAGCCGACCUGAGAGGGUGAUCGGCCACACUGGAACUGAGACACGGUCCAGACUCCUACGGGAGGCAGCAGUAGGGAAUCUUCCGCAAUGGGCGAAAUCCGACGGAGCAACGCCGCGUGAGUGAAGAAGGUCUUCGGAUCGUAAAACUCUGUUAUUAGGGAAGAACAAAUGUGUAAGUAACUAUGCACGUCUUGACGGUACCUAAUCAGAAAGCCACGGCUAACUACGUG